rnacentral:lncRNA from 10 species
AUUCUCUUCAGCAGUGAGCCUGUGAAAUUGAAACAGUUAUCUGCUUCCACAGUACAAUGGUGGGACCGGCACAGGAUGGAAAUUCUCAUUUUAAAAAGGAGACAUAGGUGGAUGAAGCCAUGCUCCCAUGGCUCUUGCAUUCUGCAUGCCUGCAGACUCAAUACCAUGUGGACACCACCGAGGCUUAUCACUUGUACCUUCUGAAGCGGUGGCCAGAAAGUGCAGGCAUAUGACUGAAGAAGACAAAUGUUGUGAAGUUUGUCUAAUUGUUUCGUAACUUCGAGGCCAGACAGAAUAUGAGAUUAAGGAAAUGGAUCCCAUUGAUUCUUCAUUUUUUUCUGCCACCAAAUCCAAAAUUCUUCUUGAAUUUUAUUCUUCCCUCUACUUACAAUGGAAAAAUGCCCUGUCAAAUCCAAGUUGAAUCCUUGCAGUUUUGUUCUAUAUCAUAUAUCUUCCAUCAUUUACUCAAAAGAUUUCACUCCUACAGUUAUUACCUUUGGAAUUUACGUUUAAGUAUAGUAUCAAAAAGAGAUAUUUAAUUUUCCCAUGGAUAAAAGCAAUCUUCCAAUAAGUACAAAGGCCUUUUUUUUUGGAUAUUAGCUUUGUCUCAACAUUCUAUUUGUGUACAUAUGUAACCAUCAGCAUUCUUUUAAUUAUUGUUUUACAAAAUGCAUAUAACCCAAGUUGCAAAGUGUGUACGUUGAUCAAAAUUGUCUUCGUUAUUUUAUAUUUUUAUUCAAGAUCAAAUUUAGAAUGAGUUUAUCCAUUAUAUUACAGGCAUAUUUUUGAAAAUAUUAGUUUUGAUGGCUUUUAUUUACUUUGGAAAAGAUUAUGUAUUUCAUAAAAAGCAAAAAAUGCUUUAAAGUUGUGUUUGUUUAUAAAUUUAUUUGAAGAAAAAUUGGAAAUUUUAUAAUAUAUAUUUUCCCAUGUUGAAAUAAUAGUUUUUUAUAAAAAUGUGUACUUUUUCACAUUAGUUAUAUAUUUCUGUUUGAGCAAUUAUAGUAUCUCAAGUGUUUAUUGUGAUUUUUGUUAUUUUUCUAAUUGAUUUUUCUGCACAUUAUAAAAGCUAUUUCCUUGUGUGUAUGUUGUGCUUAUAUCUGUGUAUGUUGUGCUAACUCACUUUGCUAAAACUUUUGAUAAUUUAGUAUUGAUUCUCAUUGGAUAGAUAUUAUUUAUUUUAAAAUAUUUUAAAUAUACAAAACUUAAUAGAAAAUAACAAUAAAAUGUCUAUUAAUCUACUUCAUAAAAUGUUAACAUUUUAUCCUUUUCCUUCAGGUUCUUUUAAAGAAAAUCUGUUGAAGUCCCUAUGAUUAUCCAAAUUAAAUUCCAACACUUUUGCAAUAGUGUCCACUAUUCAAUAACAUUCCAACACUUUUGCAAUAGUAUCCACUAUUUCGCAAUGGUAUCCACUAAUAAGGAAAUUGGGCAUUAUAAUUUGUAUGAAUUUUUAUACAAUAACAAAUAUGUACAGAUAUGUGUGUACAGUUGUUUUAUAUAACAUUUUAUACAAAUGACAUGUAUAUCUUACGCUAUUUUUAAUGAAAUACAUUUUAUGACACAUAUUCAUCAUAUAGAUAUAUCUGUUGUCUAUUCAUGUUGGUACUGUAUAAAUGAACCAAAAUAUAUUUCUCCAGUCUCCUCUAGAGGACCAAUAAUUUAGCACUACACACACAGCAGUAAUGAAUAUUCUUGUACAAAUCUCCUUCUAUCUCUGGCAACUUUUGUAAUUCCUUCUGUGUUGUAUUCAUAUUUUUAUAUCUCCUUGAUUGUAUUUGAAUAACAUAAUUUUAUAUAAAUCAUUAUUUAUACUGAUUAUCAAAAUUUUAGUCUAGAAUUAUAUGUACUAUUUUGUGUCAAAAAAGUUACUUUCAUUUGUAUCUGAAAUUGUAUCAUAUUUAACCUGUUUAAAAACUUUAACUUUGAAAUCUCUUACUGUCACCAAUUUUACUGUUUCUUUCAUAUUAGAAAUAGAAAAACAAAUAGAAGUUUAUUAAAGGAGCUUAUUUAAUCCCAAGAGGUGCAAUUCUGAAUGUCAUAAUCCUGAAUGUUGAAAUCCCACGUGAUCAAAUUUCUGAAAUUAUAACUCUGGA